CGCUCUGCAGGUUCAUGUAUUUAUUUCUAUAUUUUAAAAGUGGUGAAAUGGCUUCAGAAAGAGAGGCUGGCGGAUCCUAUUGACAGGGUGUUCUCUUGCCCUAGGAAAAGGGGAAUGUGCUUGAUUGUUUUCAUCCACAUCAGUGAUUUUAAGAGCCUUGAUGAAACAUCCAGCUCAGGAAACACAAUGGCUUUAAACACUUCACUGAAAAGAGUUAUUUUUGAAAAUCAAAUUAAAAAUCCUGUUCACAUGCAAAAAACAUAAAUAAUAAUCAACUUCUCUGUUGAAAUGGAAACCAGCGAUUUACUGCAUUUUGCUCAGCAAAAUCAUGGCAACAAGUUUUCAACCUGGGUUGAAAAGGACCUCAAAGAUCAUAUAGUUUCAACCCUCCGGCUGUGGGCAGGGUCACCAACCACUGGACCAGGCUGCCCAGAACCACAGCCAGCCUGGCCUUGAAUGCCUCCAGGGAUGCGGCAUCCACAACAUCCUUGGGCAAGCUGUUCCAGUGUGCCACCACCCUCUGAGCGAAGAACUUCCUCCUAACUUUUUAUAUGGAAACAUCCCAGUCCACAGCUAGAAAACUCACAGCAAGAAACAAGAAAAAAGUCAAAGAACUUUGAAGAUGCUUAUUCUUUGUUCUCUGAGCAAUGGCCUAGUCACCCUUUCACUAUCUUGUGCUUGAAUCAUUUUCAUGUAUUGUUCUCAGAGGCUUGCCAUCUGAGAGUGUCAUAUUCUCUGUGGUAAAGAAACAUGAACAUGCAAUUUGGGAUCAAGUAGUUUUGUUUACAAAUAAAUACAUUUUUGUUUUCAAAGAUAUCCUUCAGCCUUAUUCAAAACUGGAUGAAGAAUUUGAGCUUGUAAUACUCGUUCCCUAUGACCUGAUACAAUGAAUAUUGUCUGCUGACAGAAGUAAUCUAUAUAGCAAGCUCUGGAAUGAGUUGAAUCAUGUCUCAUUGGGUAUUAGCAUAUUUCUCCUUAUUUUGGUGUGAAGGACUAUGGAAAAAUAAACACUUCAUUUCACAGAACAAUAUUUGGAUACCACUUACCUCUGAGGCAGUUCUUCUGGAAAUUAUAUUUCUUUCUUGGGAUCAAAAGAAAGCACAUCAAUAUGAGCGAUGGAGUCUACAAAGUGAAUUUGCAGCUGUUUUAUGUAAACUGUGAGAAGGUAUAAAAUUUCUUGUUGUAAUUCAUUCUACACAGAGUUUUGAAGAUAGCAAUCUAAAAAUGUUACAAUUGUUACAUUACUUUAUUGUUCAAACCUACUUGUGCAAAAGAUCACAAUCAUUCUUCUUGUGCAAAGGAAGACUAUGACACUAUAGGCUUAAAGCAAUCCCAUGCAAAACCAUGUAGCCAAUUUUAUCUGGACUAAUUAAACAUGGCGGAUUAAAAAUAGUAUUACUGAAGCAAGAGUUCAUUCAUAGUUAGAAAUUUUCACCACCUACUUUUUAGACAAUAUUUAAGGCUUUUUCUUCUUCCUUCUGGUGAUCCAGAGCACCAGUGCUGUCUAGAAAUCAUGCUGAUAGAGAGUUAUCACAAGCUUGCCUUACAACUCCUCUUUUACAACUCCAG
ensembl:lncRNA